rnacentral:lncRNA from 1 species
AUGGGACCCGCAGUAAAGAGCGCUGCGUAUCGCAUGAAUGCCCAGACGGGCUCAGCGUCACCGAGGGAGCUGCACAGUCCUCCCCAGCUCAGGGACUCCAUCCGCCGCCCGCAUCCCACCUGCUGCACCAGUGGACUCUGGCCCCAGAUUAUCAGGGAAAAUUUAUAGUCGUCAGGGGAAAAAUAAACGCCAUUGCAUAUGAGUUCCACCUUCAGCACGAAGAACAGAGCAUUGAACUCACCCAUGCGGAGGCUCCCCAAUGUGCACACAGAGCCCGCAGUUACAGUCCCUGAAAUCCAGGCUCACAAUCAGUAAUACCAGCUCCUGAUUUGAGGCAUCAAACUCCCACAGUGAGUUCCCCGCUUCAGGGCCGCAGGACAGCGUCUGGCUUCCUCACUUCCUGCCUAAUGGAUCUUGCUGCGCAAAUUGGACUUUUCGGGUUUUAUUACUCCCUAAGGGGAUUGCUGCUGGAUUACGCUCAUUUACUUUUUUAUUCUUUAUCUAUUAUUUACACAAGAAAAUAUUCCUGUUUUUCUUUCUGAAUAUCCUCCGUUAUUCCUGGCAUUAGCGGAAUAAUUUUUGUCAGUUUUAUAAAUUGCCUAUGACUGUACAUUUCCGAGCCAAUGUGUUGAGGAGUUCCUAUGAAUCGGCGGUAACCGAUGAUGAACAGCCCAGGCGCCCAGUGGCGGUGCAGGACGAGGCCCCUUCACCUCCGCUCUAAACCCUGGAGAAGGCGCUGGGGGUCUCGGGGAGGCAGGAGGUGGGAGUGCGCCCCGCAGCCUCCUAAGACCGCCCCCCGCCCCCCGCUGCGUCCUGCACAGGGAGCUCCAGGCUGUUGCAGGAGGAUGCGGGAGGCGGGGUUCAAGGGGCGCGCAGGAGCCCCGGAGGCGCGCGCUGCUUUGCAGCUCCUAAGGCUGUGCCGACGUAGGGGACCUCACCCGGGGCUUGGGAAGCGCACCCCUGAUUUAUAAGCAGCGCGUGCUGAGCGGUCGCGGCUCAGUCCGGUGCAGCUGAGGGACCAGGGCUCCCUGGACGGCCUCGCCCGCGCGUCCUCGGUCAUUGCGUUUGUCCGGGGAGCUUGCGCGGCGUCUCCCGGCUCCCUGGGCGGGCUCUGCGCCCCAGGCCCCGCGCUCACUCUGGCUCGGUGUCGACCCCCUCGCUGGCCCAUGCAGCCUCGUCCUGCCCCUCGCGGCUCCUCCGCCCUGGUUUCUGCGUCCUUCCCUCAUCCGCUCGCCACAACCCGGCGGAGCUGCCCAGCCCAAGGUGCAGUGUGCGCCCCUGGGACGCGCCUCUGAGAGCCACGAGGGCCCUGAAUGCACAGCGCGGGAGUUUCAGGCCCAGGAGUGACCGCCUGCACUUGCGCGCUCAUUAACUCUUCUCUGCCUGCCUGGGCCCCCGGCGUGAGUGGGAAUCACGGCCCACGGACGCCUGGGAUGACUCGGCCUUGCGCCCCGGCGUGCAGCAGGUCUCUGGGCAGGUCUCUGGGCGCAGCGAACCCUGGUCUGCCGGGAGCUCCUUCUUGACCUUCCUUCCUCCACAAGAAGGGAGCGCCUCCCGACAGGCCACAGGCUACAUCAUUUUGGAUUAUGCAAUAAAAUGCUUGGUUUGUGCGCGUACAAGGGCACCAGCUAAUGCCCCAGGGCAGGGCUUACUGUGGCCACUGCUGAACCAAAUAAAAGCCCACGUGAUGUGGAAACUGCAUGGAAUAAUACGUUGUCUGGACAGGCGUCACUUACAAAUCUCGAGACCGGGUUCUUUGUGUAAAUGGUACUUUACUUUUAAACAGUUUAGGAAAAGCCCAGUUAUCUUUCAUUCACACGCCUGUUCUCUGUCCCGGGUGGGUGCCCCUGCUGAGCGGACAGA